UACGGAGGGAGCUAGCGUUAUUCGGAAUUACUGGGCGUAAAGCGCACGUAGGCGGCUUUGUAAGUCAGAGGUGAAAGCCUGGAGCUCAACUCCAGAACUGCCUUUGAGACUGCAUCGCUUGAAUCCAGGAGAGGUGAGUGGAAUUCCGAGUGUAGAGGUGAAAUUCGUAGAUAUUCGCAAGAACACCAGUGGCGAAGGCGGCUCACUGGCCCGAUACUGACGCUGAGGCACGAAAGCGUGGGGAGCAAACAGGG
rnacentral:rRNA from 1 species